CGCAGAGUGGGCGGAGUCUCGCAGGCCCCGCCCACCGCCGGGUAAUCGUCGGUUCGUCUGAACCGAACUGCAGUGCAGAGCCGGAAUGGGGGGCUUGGCCCCAGUCCAGCACAGUCAAAAUUAGCUCUCUGUUGAAUUACAUGCAGUCAGCCAGUGGAAGCGCCUGAGAUCCUGACGCCCCAGUCCCGCAGCCUUGUACGGGGGUCCAAACCCCGCAAGGCUGCCGCUCGGGUCCGCUUUCGUCCAAGAACGCCUUUUCCAACAGCAACUUUACAGCAAAGGACAAGAACAAAGACUUUAUCUCUUGUUUCUUCAAAAUGACACCAACAGGAGCAAUGGGGGAUCCCAUUAGAGCUCACAGCGGUGUUCCUGAACCUGGUGGCGCGGAGAGGAACGACCACGAAAGAUCGACAUCCCAUCUGUCGGAUGCAGGAUAGAGAACGGUCCUCUGGGGAAAUUGUAUCCUCAUAAAAACCUG
rnacentral:lncRNA from 1 species